rnacentral:tRNA from 1 species
GCGGGCGUAGCUCAGUGGUAGAGCAUCGGCUUCCCAUGCCGAGUGUCGUGGGUUCGACCCCCAUCGCCCGCU